GCCCCAGUAGUCGAGGUGGUAAGACACCGGGACCGAAGAUUCCGGAGGUGCCAGGUUCGAACCCUGGGUGGGGUG